rnacentral:rRNA from 1 species
AUUGAACGCUGGCGGCAGGCCUAACACAUGCAAGUCGAACGGUAACAGGAAACAGCUUGCUGUUUCGCUGACGAGUGGCGGACGGGUGAGUAAUGUCUGGGAAACUGCCUGAUGGAGGGGGAUAAUUACUGGAAACGGUAGCUAAUACCGCAUAACGUCGCAAGACCAAAGAGGGGGACCUUCGGGCCUCUUGCCAUCGGAUGUGCCCAGAUGGGAUUAGCUAGUAGGUGGGGUAACGGCUCACCUAGGCGACGAUCCCUAGCUGGUCUGAGAGGAUGACCAGCCACACUGGAACUGAGACACGGUCCAGACUCCUACGGGAGGCAGCAGUGGGGAAUAUUGCACAAUGGGCGCAAGCCUGAUGCAGCCAUGCCGCGUGUAUGAAGAAGGCCUUCGGGUUGUAAAGUACUUUCAGCGGGGAGGAAGGGAGUAAAGUUAAUACCUUUGCUCAUUGACGUUACCCGCAGAAGAAGCACCGGCUAACUCCGUG